rnacentral:rRNA from 1 species
GACCAGACUCCUACGGGAGGCAGCAGUGGGGGAUAUUGCACAAUGGGGGAAACCCUGAUGCAGCGACGCCGCGUGGGCGAAGAAGUAUUUCGGUAUGUAAAGCCCUAUCAGCAGGGAAGAAGAAAUGACGGUACCUGAGUAAGAAGCACCGGCUAAAUACGUGCCAGCAGCCGCGGUAAUACGUAUGGUGCAAGCGUUAUCCGGAUUUACUGGGUGUAAAGGGAGCGCAGGCGGCACGGCAAGCCUGAUGUGAAAGCCCGCGGCCCAACCGCGGGACUGCAUUGGGAACUACCGGGCUGGAGUGCCGGAGGGGCAGGCGGAAUUCCUAGUGUAGCGGUGAAAUGCGUAGAUAUUAGGAGGAACACCAGUGGCGAAGGCGGCCUGCUGGACUGCAGCUGACGUUGAGGCUCGAAGGCGUGGGGAGCAAACAGGAUUAGAUACCCCAGUAA